GGCUUCAUGGUCGAGCGGUAAGGAUACUUGUCUCUCACCCUGGAGUCCCGGGUUCGAACCCCGGUCGAGAAGCUA